UGCGAAGGCAUCUUCAGCAGCUGGAAAGAAUUUCGGUCAGGGAUGAGCUCGCGGCCUAUCAGCUAGUUGGUGAGGUAAUGGCUCACCAAGGCGUCGACGGGUAGCCGGCCUGAGAGGGUGACCGGCCACACUGGGACUGAGACACGGCCCAGACUCCUACGGGAGGCAGCAGUGGGGAAUAUUGCACAAUGGGCGCAAGCCUGAUGCAGCAACGCCGCGUGAGGGACGACGGCCUUCGGGUUGUAAACCUCUUUUAGCAGGGAAGAAGCGAAAGUGACGGUACCUGCAGAAAAAGCGCCGGCUAACUACGUGCCAGCAGCCGCGGUAAUACGUAGGGCGCAAGCGUUAUCCGGAAUUAUUGGGCGUAAAGAGCUCGUAGGCGGUUUGUCGCGUCUGCUGUGAAAACCCGAGGCUCAACCUCGGGCCUGCAGUGGGUACGGGCAGACUAGAGUGCGGUAGGGGAGAUUGGAAUUCCUGGUGUAGCGGUGGAAUGCGCAGAUAUCAGGAGGAACACCGAUGGCGAAGGCAGAUCUCUGGGCCGUAACUGACGCUGAGGAGCGAAAGGGUGGGGAGCAAACAGGCUUAGAUACCCUGGUAGUCCACCCCGUAAACGUUGGGAACUAGUUGUGGGGUCCAUUCCACGGAUUCCGUGACGCAGCUAACGCAUUAAGUUCCCCGCCUGGGGAGUACGGCCGCAAGGCUAAAACUCAAAGGAAUUGACGGGGACCCGCACAAGCGGCGGAGCAUGCGGAUUAAUUCGAUGCAACGCGAAGAACCUUACCAAGGCUUGACAUAUACGAGAACGCUGCAGAAAUGUAGAACUCUUUGGACACUCGUAAACAGGUGGUGCAUGGUUGUCGUCAGCUCGUGUCGUGAGAUGUUGGGUUAAGUCCCGCAACGAGCGCAACCCUCGUUCUAUGUUGCCAGCACGUAAUGGUGGGAACUCAUGGGAUACUGCCGGGGUCAACUCGGAGGAAGGUGGGGAUGACGUCAAAUCAUCAUGCCCCUUAUGUCUUGGGCUUCACGCAUGCUACAAUGGCCGGUACAAAGGGCUGCAAUACCGUAAGGUGGAGCGAAUCCCAAAAAGCCGGUCCCAGUUCGGAUUGAGGUCUGCAACUCGACCUCAUGAAGUAGGAGUCGCU
rnacentral:rRNA from 1 species